rnacentral:rRNA from 1 species
GACGAACGCUGGCGGCGUGCUUAACACAUGCAAGUCGAGCGGUAAGGCCCUUUCGGGGGUACACGAGCGGCGAACGGGUGAGUAACACGUGGGUGACCUGCCCUUAGCUCUGGGAUAAGCCUGGGAAACUGGGGUCUAAUACCGGAUAUGACUCCAUGACGCAUGUUGUGGGGUGGAAAGCCUUGUGCGGCUAGGGAUGGGCCCGCGGCCUAUCAGCUUGUUGGUGGGGUGAUGGCCUACCAAGGCGACGACGGGUAGCCGGCCUGAGAGGGCGACCGGCCACACUGGGACUGAGACACGGCCCAGGACUCCUACGGGAGGCAGCAGUGGGGAAUCUUGCGCAAUGGGACGAAAGCCUGACGCAGCGACGCCGCGUGA